rnacentral:snRNA from 1 species
UGUCACACCUCGCAGCAGCGACACCAUGAUCACCAAGGCAGUUUUCCCAGGGCGGGGCUUAUCCACUAUUCCAGAUGUGCUGACUCCUGCGAUUCCUCACUCAAUUGUGUAAUUUGUGAUGGUGGGCGUCUGGGUUUGCACUCUUCCUUG